rnacentral:rRNA from 1 species
AUUGAACGCUGGCGGCAGGCUUAACACAUGCAAGUCGAGCGAGAGGCGGACGGGUGAGUAAUGUCUGGGAAACUGCCUGAUGGAGGGGGAUAAAUACUGGACACGAUAGCUAAUACCGCAUACCAUCAGAUGUGCCCAGAUGGGAUUAGCUAGUCGGUGGGGUAAUGGAUGACCAAGGACACGAUCCCUAGUGGGUGUGAGAGGAUGACCAGCCACACUGGAACUGAGACAUGGUCCAGACUCCUACGGGAGGCAGCAGUGGGGAAUAUUGCACAAUGGGCGCAAGCCUGAUGCAGCCAUGCCGCGUGUGUGAAGAAGGCCUUCGGGUUGUAAAGCACUUUCAGCGAGGAGGCGUUACUCGCAGAAGAAGCACCGGCUAACUCCGUGCCAGCAGCCGCGGUAAUAC